rnacentral:rRNA from 1 species
GCAAGCCUNAUCCAGCAAUGCCGCGUGAGUGAAGAAGGCCUUCGGGUUGUAAAGCUCUUUUGUCAGGGAAGAAACGGUGAGUCCUAAUACGGCUUGCUAAUGACGGUACCUGAAGAAUAAGCACCGGCUAACUACGUGCCAGCAGCCGCGGUAAUACGUAGGGUGCAAGCGUUAAUCGGAAUUACUGGGCGUAAAGCGUGCGCAGGCGGUUAUAUAAGUCAGAUGUGAAAUCCCCGGGCUCAACCUGGGAACUGCAUUUGAGACUGUAUGGCUAGAGUGUGUCAGAGGGGGGUAGAAUUCCACGUGUAGCAGUGAAAUGCGUAGAUAUGUGGAGGAAUACCGAUGGCGAAGGCAGCCCCCUGGGAUAACACUGACGCUCAUGCACGAAAGCGUGGGGAGCAAACAGGAUUAGAUACCCUGGUAGUCCACGCCCUAAACGAUGUCUACUAGUUGUCGGGACUUAAUUGUCUUGGUAACGCA